rnacentral:rRNA from 1 species
UGACGAGCGGCGGACGGGUGAGUAAUGUCUGGGAAACUGCCUGAUGGAGGGGGAUAACUACUGGAAACGGUAGCUAAUACCGCAUAAUGUCGCAAGACCAAAGUGGGGGACCUUCGGGCCUCAUGCCAUCAGAUGUGCCCAGAUGGGAUUAGCUAGUAGGUGGGGUAACGGCUCACCUAGGCGACGAUCCCUAGCUGGUCUGAGAGGAUGACCAGCCACACUGGAACUGAGACACGGUCCAGACUCCUACGGGAGGCAGCAGUGGGGAAUAUUGCACAAUGGGCGCAAGCCUGAUGCAGCCAUGCCGCGUGUGUGAAGAAGGCCUUCGGGUUGUAAAGCACUUUCAGCGGGGAGGAAGGCGAUAAGGUUAAUAACCUUGUCGAUUGACGUUACCCGCAGAAGAAGCACCGGCUAACUCCGUGCCAGCAGCCGCGGUAAUACGGAGGGUGCAAGCGUUAAUCGGAAUUACUGGGCGUAAAGCGCACGCAGGCGGUCUGUCAAGUCGGAUGUGAAAUCCCCGGGCUCAACCUGGGAACUGCAUUCGAAACUGGCAGGCUAGAGUCUUGUAGAGGGGGGUAGAAUUCCAGGUGUAGCGGUGAAAUGCGUAGAGAUCUGGAGGAAUACCGGUGGCGAAGGCGGCCCCCUGGACAAAGACUGACGCUCAGGUGCGAAAGCGUGGGGAGCAAACAGGAUUAGAUACCCUGGUAGUCCACGCCGUAAACGAUGUCGAUUUGGAGGUUGUGCCCUUGAGGCGUGGCUUCCGGAGCUAACGCGUUAAAUCGACCGCCUGGGGAGUACGGCCGCAAGGUUAAAACUCAAAUGAAUUGACGGGGGCCCGCACAAGCGGUGGAGCAUGUGGUUUAAUUCGAUGCAACGCGAAGAACCUUACCUGGUCUUGACAUCCACAGAACUUAGCAGAGAUGGUUUGGUGCCUUCGGGAACUGUGAGACAGGUGCUGCAUGGCUGUCGUCAGCUCGUGUUGUGAAAUGUUGGGUUAAGUCCCG